rnacentral:tRNA from 1 species
ACAUCCAUGGAUAAAUUAUUAAAGUGUCCAACUCAUAAUUGGUGAACUCGUGGGGUUCAAUUCCUGCUG